GUAGGUGAACCUGCGGAAGGAUCAUUAACAAAUCUUUGCGAGGGUCCGUGCCGUCUCGGCUGCGGGCCCUUGACAUGAACCCGAGGGCUUCCGAGCCCGAGGUAGUCGCCGCAGGCUCUUGGGCCUGGGGCGGCUGGCGGCUGACCCGGUUUGGGGAGGCCAACCACAUAUGCACACCGUUUGUCUCUGUUUGACACUGUCAUUUUAACAUUUAAAAUGUAUAUACAACUUUUAACAAUGGAUCUCUUGG
rnacentral:misc_RNA from 1 species